rnacentral:rRNA from 1 species
UACGAAGGGGGCUAGCGUUGCUCGGAAUCACUGGGCGUAAAGCGCACGUAGGCGGAUUGUUAAGUCAGGGGUGAAAUCCUGGAGCUCAACUCCAGAACUGCCUUUGAUACUGGCGAUCUUGAGUCCGGGAGAGGUGAGUGGAACUGCGAGUGUAGAGGUGAAAAUUCGUAGAUAUUCGCAAGAACACCAGUGGCGAAGGCGGCUCACUGGCCCGGUACUGACGCUGAGGUGCGAAAGCGUGGG